GUCUGUCUAAAUUUUAUCAACAAGCUUUGUUGGCAUGGAAAUUGUGCUAUUCACAUAAUUUCUCUCCUCACAAAACAAUAAUAUGGAACAACGAGAAUAUUACUAAAGGGAACAAGUCUCUCUAUUUUCAAAACUGGGUUGAAAAGAACAUAAUACUCAUGAAACACCUUUUUAACAGUGAAGGUCAAUUAAUGUCCUAUGAAGCAUUUCUUCAGAAACAAACAUUUCCUGUCAAACCCAAGGAAUAUAGAUCUGUGGUUAAUUCUAUUCCUAGUGGUUUGAUAGAACUAAUGAAAGGAUAUAAUAAUCAGCACGAGAUUCUUAACCCUCAAUGUACACUUUACAUAAAUGGCAUUCAAUUUAUGAGUUACAAAUGUACCAACAAACAUAUUAGGGAAUGCUUUUAUAACAAAAGAAAGAUAACACCGCGUGGAAAGGUUUUUUGGAAUUCUCAAAUUAAAGACAUAAAUUGGCGUAGAGCAUGGCUUGUCCCCUUUAAAUUCCUAUUAUCUAACAAAAAUAGAGAACUACAUCUUAAAUUGUUACACAACAUCUAUCCAACAAAUCUAUACAUUUCUAGAUUCUCAGAUGCUGAUGAUAAAUGCACUUUUUGUAAAGCUGAAACUGAAAAUAUAACUCACUUAUUUUAUAAAUGUUCGAUUUGUGUUACUUUUUGGAAAGACUUGGAGAAAUUUCUGUUUAACAAAACAACAGUUGAGUUUCGAUUUGAUGAGAAAAAUAUUAUUUUUGGUUUUUCUCCUCAAAAUAAUAAGUAUAACAUUGUGAACCUUUUUAUCUUAAUGGGUAAAUUUCACAUUCAUAAAGCCAAGAUGUCAAAAGCAAUCCCGUCAUUUACAUUAUUUUUAAUUGAAUUUAAACUUUAUUUUGAGUCUCUGAAAUAUAUAGAAAAUAACAAGAAAGGCUUAUUUGCUCUUCAAUUUUAUUCAGAAUACCUUGAUUGAGUUUGUCUGCCACUUUAUGUAAAUUUUUACUUUUCUAACUUUUGUGUCUGAUUCAUUAUUUAUUCGUUUCAUUUUUGAGCCUUACUCCACUUUCUUUUCUCUUCUUUCUUUUUCUUUCUAUUCCUGUUUUAUUAUAUUAAUUUGCCUUGAUUUGGAAAUGUCUGAUUGUUUGUAUAUACUUUAUUCCUGUUAUUAUUCCUUGUCCACUGUUGAAUUUAAAUAAAGCUUUAAAAAAAAAAAAAAAUUUGAAGCUCAAAAUACUCCGCUCUGGACGUCGCCAUCUUGGCAGUGCCUGACUCCGCCCAACUCCCGGACAAUCAAAAAUGGGCAAAGAGGCGGGCCAAAGGAAGCCCACCUCGCUCGGCGCUGCUAAGUUAGCUAAGGCUAACAAGCUAGGCUAAGAAGCUACUUUGGCUAAGAAGCUACGCUACUUUGGCUAGCCCUGUGGUGUUGGCUGCUCCCUUGGUGCCAGCUCCCUCACGAAACUUGAGCGUGGAUCAUUGGUGACAGCUAUGUCCGGCGUGGUGUCCAGAGAGCUGCAGAGACCUUGGGAAGUACCCUCAGCAUGCCGGGCGUCCGUGUCUGCUGGUUUGGCUGGGGUGGACUGCAGUGAAGAGGCCUUCUCUCCUUCUUUUCGCACUCCCUGCGAGGAAGAGCAGCACCAGAUGUCCUCAUCAUCCACUGUGGCGGCAGUGACAUGGGGAAGGUUAGCAGUGUCAAGAAGCUGGUCAGCAUGAUGAAGGAGGACCUGCACCAGCUUCACCUCCAGCAUCCUGGCAUUAAGAUAAUAUUUUCUUCACUGGCCCAAAGAUGCAGGUGGGAGGCUGGUGGCAAUCCAGCAAAGAUUGAUAAAUCCAGGAAAUGUGUGUUAUGGCUACAUUUGUUCAUAGUUUAAAUGGUGCCAUAAUUGAGCACCCUCACAUCAGACACAUUCAUCUCACACCUAGGGGAAAUUAUACGUUUUUAAGUAAAUUAGUUAAUUGUCUUAAAGACCACCAAACGCAGUGAACUGCUUACUGUUGGCAGUGUCACUGCUUUUGAAUUUGGCCUUUAGGACACAUUUUGUUAGGCUUGAUCAUAGCCCAGGCUGUCAUGGCUAAUGUUGAGCUUUUGAUAUUCAUCUAUAACUUGUUUAAAAUUUCAAUAAAUUCUAUUUACAUUUGCA